CUUGCAUAUAGAAGUACUCAUUAUAAGCGGGUCAUCUAAAGAAUGUUGAGGGCGAAACCGUAGCAGAACCACCAAUACGUAUCUCUUUGUCUCUCUCUCCCUUCGACUGCAGCUCCAAGAUCAGCUUCGGCGUGGGUCUCUAAGACGGAGGCCACGUUGGGUUGGGCCAAAAAAUUGAUUGGGCGAGCCAAUGAUCAUGCCUAGCCGACUCAGCCCAGUCCCUCAAUCAAAUGGGUUGAUUCUUUUAUGUACAAGGAAAGAAGAAAAAAAGACUGUUAAAACGACUGAAGGCUCAAGACUACCGAUUUAUUAUAGACUAGUGAGUUAGAGCAUUGGCAAUGGUGAGGUCAUUGCCCAACGCAAGUCUAAAAUUUAGACUCUUGUAGAUAUUUUGCUCUGCAUCGGACUGGCUAUAUAACAAAAAUUUCAGACUUCAACUACAGUAAGUCUUAGUCCCUCACCAUACCUGGCCAGCCACUGUUUGCUCUGGAUAAGGAUAUUUUAUUAUUUCAUCAAUCCCCCGCUUGGUCUUUCCCUCGUUCUUUUCUCUUUCUUCAAGCCGCAAGCAACCUCGCGCUCUUCUCUCCCUCGCUCUUCUUCAACCUGCAAGCUUCCUCGUUCAUCAGUCUACAUCUUCGUCGGUUGUCUUCUUCCAGGCCAACUGUGCUCAGAGAAUAAGGAAUUACAAGAAAGAGUGAAUAGCCUUGAGCAGUUGGUCUCAUUCACAGGUGAUAAGUUAUCAAUGUCUUCAGUGGAGUAUGUAUCUGGAGAAUAUAUUGAUGAAUUGAAAAAGAAAAUUCAGUCUCAAGUGAUCAUUUGGCCUGUUUUGGAUCAGAAUGGCUAAAGAGAUUCAAUUGUUUUGGCUGUUGAGUUGGAGAAGAAUACAUAUUGUAAUGGGGACUAUGGCAAGGGUGGUUGUGUCUGUAGAGUCUGUUUCCAGUGGCAAGGGUGGUUGUUCUGUUUCAUAUACCAAAGAGUAUAUGUUGUUCUAUUUCAUAUACCGAAGAUGUGUAGAAUUCGAACUAAAGAAGAAGAAGUUGGAUGAUAUGCAUUUUAUGUAUGAUCUAGUGCUCGGACCCUUGAUUUUUCCUUGUUAUUUAUAGGGUUUCAUUUGAAAGUUGUUGUGCAUGAAGUAGUACUGCAUUCAGAUUAUAAAGUUGUAAUAUGUAGGAAAAAAUGAGUAAGGAGAUAAUUAUUAUA